UACGUAGGGGGCAAGCGUUGUCCGGAAUCAUUGGGCGUAAAGAGCGUGUAGGCGGCUCGAUAAGUCUGCUGUGAAAGUCCAGGGCUCAACCCUGGAAGGCCGGUGGAAACUGUCGGGCUAGAGUCCGGAAGAGGCGAGUGGAAUUCCCGGUGUAGCGGUGAAAUGCGCAGAUAUCGGGAGGAACACCAAUGGCGAAGGCAGCUCGCUGGGACGGUACUGACGCUGAGGCACGAAAGCUGGGGGAGCGAACAGG
rnacentral:rRNA from 1 species